rnacentral:lncRNA from 1 species
AAUUUUAAUAAAUUGGCCCAAUCCGGAAGAAGAAGGGACCUUUUCUUAUUUUUAUUUCUUUUCCUUAUUUAUUUUAAAAACAAAACUAAGCAAAAAUCAAAUUAAAAUUAAAUACACACUCAAUACAAUUAUUUGCACACACACUAAAAUAUUUCAAAACAGGUAAAAUCAAACAAAUCAAAAUCACGGACGAAGAUGCCUAUUUAUGAUUUUCUAUUUAACGACCGGAUUACGUUUCGAAUUAUGCAUGCCACACACAUUUUGUAUUUUGUUUUAAAUAAAUAAAUAAAUAAGAAAAAAUAAAAAUGGGCAAAAGUCACAAAUAAAUCAACAAAGUGCCGCACAGAAAUCCGAAAAUUGUACAGCAGGGCCAAUUAUUAUUAUUUUUUAUUUCUUUUGGAGCGAUUGUCGUGCGAAACAAAAAUCACGUGCUCACAAACUCCUUCCUACAAUUAGCCAAUAACUCCUCUAUGGUUGAAUCUGCGAGUUAAAAAAUGCAUGCUCGGGUGGUCAGUUAAUUAAAGUAGCAUCUGUUUCAACAUCUAACAAGCUUUUCAAAACAGCAGUAUUAAGCAUUUAAAUUGUUAAAACUACCAAAACAAACACGAAAUAUAGUUACUUUAUCCAUAAAGGAUUAAACUACUUAUAUAGCCAGCAAAAUAACUCAUCCAAUAAAAAUUCUUGAGUUUUGAAAUAUAUUUCACGAAAUGUCAGGUUCACCAACAAACCAUAUUUAAACCAGCAUUUUUAGAAAAUGCAUGAAAGAUAUAAAUUGAAUAAUAAGAAACAGAAUGAAACCCUAAAUAGGACGAGUGAAGGCAAAGAAUACCAUGGGCGCCAUCUUCCUUCCCGUCGUCAUCGUCAUCGUCGUCGUCAGAAUCCUCGGUGUCAUCAUCGUCGUCAUUUUGAUCGUCGUCAGAGUCGUGGUCGUCAUCAGAAUCGUCGUCAUCGUCAGAAUCUUCGGCAUCAUCAUCCACUACCGGCUCAUCCUCCUGAAGCUUCUUCAGGAUGAGACCGGGCAUGGCUGCUUUAGUUGGUAAAUUUGUCGAAUGGAAGGGGUUUUCACUUCUCAGUAUAAAGGAAAUUUACUUUACCAAGUUGGGGUUUUACACUAGGUUUCCUCUCUAUAUGGACUACCCCUGCCGAAGCAGAGCCCAUUUCAUCAGCCCACUUACACGGUAAAAACGGGAGAAAUUCAAAAAUAG